AGCGAACGCUGGCGGCAGGCUUAACACAUGCAAGUCGAGCGGGCAUCCUUGUGGUGUCAGCGGCAGACGGGUGAGUAACGCGUGGGAACGUGCCCUUCGGUUCGGAAUAACUCAGGGAAACUUGAGCUAAUACCGGAUACGUGCGAGAGCAGAAAGGUUUAUCUGCCGAAGGAUCGGCCCGCGUCUGAUUAGCUAGUUGGUGAGGUUAUGGCUCACCAAGGCGACGAUCAGUAGCUGGUCUGAGAGGAUGAUCAGCCACACUGGGACUGAGACACGGCCCAGACUCCUACGGGAGGCAGCAGUGGGGAAUAUUGGACAAUGGGGGCAAACCUGAUCCAGCCAUGCCGCGUGAGUGAUGACGGCCUUAGGGUUGUAAAGCUCUUUUCUCCGGGACGAUAAUGACGGUACCGGAGGAAUAAGCCCCGGCUAACUUCGUG
rnacentral:rRNA from 1 species